AUGAAAGGGGCCUCCUUUCAUACAGAAAUCAUAUAAUUAAGCAGCACAUUCUAACAUAGCUUCCACAAUCUCGAAAGAUACUGAGCUUCCUGUAUCGAUCAAUGUUCAAAUAUAUCUCUAUAAGAGUUCCAAUCAUGAGAAGAUAAACCAUACGAGCAUUCAUCCUCCUAGCAAUGUAAAGCAUAAAUAUGAGCUUGUGCUUUAUAAUACAACUUGUACUACCCA
rnacentral:lncRNA from 1 species